AACGAACGCUGGCGGCAUGCCUAACACAUGCAAGUCGAACGAGACCUUCGGGUCUAGUGGCGCACGGGUGCGUAACGCGUGGGAACCUACCCUUAGGUUCGGAAUAACUCCCCGAAAGGGGUGCUAAUACCGGAUAAUGUCUUCGGACCAAAGAUUUAUCGCCUUUGGAUGGGCCCGCGUUGGAUUAGCUAGUUGGUAGGGUAAAAGCCUACCAAGGCGACGAUCCAUAGCUGGUCUGAGAGGAUGAUCAGCCACACUGGGACUGAGACACGGCCCAGACUCCUACGGGAGGCAGCAGUGGGGAAUAUUGGACAAGGGGCGAAAGCCUGAUCCAGCAAUGCCGCGUGAGUGAUGAAGGCCUUAGGGUUGUAAAGCUCUUUUACCCGGGAUGAUAAUGACAGUACCGGGAGAAUAAGCUCCGGCUAACUCCGUG
rnacentral:rRNA from 1 species